UACGUAGGGUGCAAGCGUUGUCCGGAAUUAUUGGGCGUAAAGAGCUCGUAGGCGGUUUGUCGCGUCUGCUGUGAAAACUCGGGGCUUAACCCCGGGCCUGCAGUGGGUACGGGCAGACUAGAGUGCGGUAGGGGAGACUGGGAUUCCUGGUGUAGCGGUGGAAUGCGUAGAGAUCCGGAAGAACACCAGUGGCGAAGGCGGCCCGCUGGGCAGUGGCUGACGCUGAGGCGCGACAGCGUGGGGGAGCAAACGAGG
rnacentral:rRNA from 1 species